GAUAAACGUUUGCGGCGUGCCUGAUGCAUGCAAGUCGAACGCCCUGAUUUUUCGCAAGAUUGAUCAGGGAGUGGCGAACGGCUGAGUAACGCGUAAGUAACCUACCCCUAAGUGGGGGAUAACUUGCCGAAAGGCAGGCUAAUACCGCAUGUGCUGGUAAGCGUCAGUUUAUCAGCAAAGCUUUUGCGCUUGGGGAGGGGCUUGCGUCUGAUUAGCUAGUUGGUAGGGUAAUGGCCUACCAAGGCGACGAUCAGUAGCUGGUCUGAGAGGAUGAUCAGCCACACUGGGACUGAGACACGGCCCAGACUCCUACGGGAGGCUG
rnacentral:rRNA from 1 species